rnacentral:misc_RNA from 1 species
CAAACAAGCUUUCAAAAGGGCGCGCGCGACACUAGGAAGCGCACAGCUGACACUAGGCCUAGCGGCCGUAAACAGUAGGACGUGCGCGCUCGCUUGAAGCAGACGACGCUUGGUCAUACAGCGAUACUUACCUGCGCUGCUCUGUAUCGCUUUCCGUUGUUUCGCUCCUCUAGCCUGCCAUAAUAAUCUAGAGGUGUCGUAAUCGUAAUCACACCCUUAUCUUCGCCGUGGGGGAGCGAGAUCAUGAACAGAGGUCUUAUCAUCGCGCCCAAGGCGAGGUCGUUGCCGGCGUCUCCCCGGCAAUUGACGCGACCGGGAGUACGCGACGAGAAGCGACCGCAUCCGGACAGUGAGGACGCCAUGCAGGUUCGACAGCGGAUCAUGAAAGUGGCGCGCCGGCUUGGACUGGUGUUCGGUGUGCGUUCCCGGUCGACGGCAGAGGAGACCCUGGUGAUGAGGUCGUCGCUGAGGAAAUCGCCGUCAGCGACGGCCGGGACCCGGUCGACGAACAAGACCAAGAAGACAGUGCGCUUCGAAGACACGGUAACGAAGACGUCUCCGAAGAAGAUGGUUAAACGCACCGUCAUCAAGGCCUGUCGCUACGUCAGCCUGGGGGCCCUGUGCUCUUCGCCCGUCCUGGUGACGUCAUUCCCCACCGAGCCCAACUUGGCGACGUCGCACCGGUCUUCCUGGUCGGCGUGGACGGAGCCCGUCACGUGGUCUCACGGCGCCCAGAUGUACAUGCAAUAGCACCCCCCCGCCCUCCACCACUCCACGUGACACCGUGCUUAUACAGCGCUUUCCCUCUGAACUGUGCGCCCCAGAACUGUACGACGACAUCUCUGUAUGACGUCACGUCACGCGACGUCUCCGUUAUAUGACACCUCAUGUUCGGCUGUCAGUGAACCAUAACUAUACCAGCAACGGUUCAUUUAUAAGCUUAAAGGGUUGCAGAAUAAUCGUUAAACAUUUGUGUUUAGUCAUUGACCACCUGUCGUCCCUCCCUCCCCCCUUGCUAUGUGGAUCUCAGUGCUAAGAGUUAUCGCGUUCUAGUACUGCGAGUUACUUCUCUCAGCGAUGCUGUAUACUUGUUCUCUUCAAGUCCUGAGUACACUUUCUAGGCAGCGCAGCUUCUUCUCAUGCAACUUAACCACAUUCACAUGUAGAGAAAUACGAUAGUGACCGAAAUUACGACAACGAUGUGAGUAGUUCCUUAAUUCUUUUCUAAUGUUUUACACCUAAGUUAUCAUGUCUGUACGAUAUACUUGCUGCCUUCCGGCACACGUUUACUGUGAUUCUACGUAUUGUAUUGUUCAUAAAAACGUUUGCCUCGAUAUUAGACCGAAAUGUAUCCAAACAUAAUGCCUGUCGCAAUAUGUGACUUCGUGGCGUUAUGCUGUUCACCUAGUCGUAGUCC